rnacentral:rRNA from 1 species
GAUGAACGCUGGCGGCGUGCCUAACACAUGCAAGUCGAACGGAAUCGCCUUGGAAAUCUCUUCUGAGAUGGAAUUCUCGACUUAGUGGCGGACGGGUUAGUAACGCCUGAGCAUUCUGCCUUUAUGAGGGGGAUAACAGUCGGACACGGCUGCUAAUACCGCAUAAAGCAUUAAAUUCGCAUGUUUCUGAUGCCAAAGGAGCAAUCGGCUCUUAGAUGAGCUCGCGUCUGCUUAGCUCGUGGGCGGGGUUACGGCCCACCGAGGCGGAGAGGUGUAGCCGGAGAGAGGGGGAGAAGGGACACAGUGACAGUGAGACGCGGCAGAGACUCAUGCGGGGCGCAGGAGGGGAGAAUAUUGCGCAAGGGGGGAGACUGUGACGCAGCAGCGGCGCGUGAGUGAAGAGGGCCUUGGGGUUGAAAAGAUCUUGAAUGAGACGCAGAGCGAAUGACGGUACCUGAAGAAUAAGCACCGGCUAACUACGUG